rnacentral:rRNA from 1 species
GGGUUGUGAGGUUAAGCGACUAAGCGUACACGGUGGAUGCCCUGGCAGUCAGAGGCGAUGAAGGACGUGCUAAUCUGCGAAAAGCGUCGGUAAGGUGAUAUGAACCGUUAUAACCGGCGAUGUCCGAAUGGGGAAACCCAGUGUGAUUCGUCACACUAUCGUUAACUGAAUACAUAGGUUAACGAGGCGAACCGGGGGAACUGAAACAUCUAAGUACCCCGAGGAAAAGAAAUCAACCGAGAUUCCCCCAGUAGCGGCGAGCGAACGGGGAGCAGCCCAGAGUCUGAAUCAGCUUGUGUGUUAGUGGAACGGUCUGGAAAGUCCGACGGUACAGGGUGAUAGUCCCGUACACCAAAAUGCACAGGCUGUGAACUCGAAGAGUAGGGCGGGACACGUGGUAUCCUGUCUGAAUAUGGGGGGACCAUCCUCCAAGGCUAAAUACUCCUGACUGACCGAUAGUGAACCAGUACCGUGAGGGAAAGGCGAAAAGAACCCCGGCGAGGGGAGUGAAAAAGAACCUGAAACCGUGUACGUACAAGCAGUGGGAGCACCUUCGGGUGUGACUGCGUACCUUUUGUAUAAUGGGUCAGCGACUUAUAUUCUGUAGCAAGGUUAACCGUAUAGGGGAGCCGCAGGGAAACCGAGUCUUAACUGGGCGUUAAGUUGCAGGGUAUAGACCCGAAACCCGGUGAUCUAGCCAUGGGCAGGUUGAAGGUUGGGUAACACUAACUGGAGGACCGAACCGACUAAUGUUGAAAAAUUAGCGGAUGACUUGUGGCUGGGGGUGAAAGGCCAAUCAAACCGGGAGAUAGCUGGUUCUCCCCGAAAGCUAUUUAGGUAGCGCCUCGUGAAUUCAUCUUCGGGGGUAGAGCACUGUUUCGGCUAGGGGGUCAUCCCGACUUACCAACCCGAUGCAAACUACGAAUACCGAAGAAUGUUAUCACGGGAGACACACGGCGGGUGCUAACGUCCGUCGUGAAGAGGGAAACAACCCAGACCGCCAGCUAAGGUCCCAAAGUCAUGGUUAAGUGGGAAACGAUGUGGGAAGGCACAGACAGCCAGGAUGUUGGCUUAGAAGCAGCCAUCAUUUAAAGAAAGCGUAAUAGCUCACUGGUCGAGUCGGCCUGCGCGGAAGAUGUAACGGGGCUAAACCAUGCACCGAAGCUGCGGCAGCGACACUAUGUGUUGUUGGGUAGGGGAGCGUUCUGUAAGCCUGCGAAGGUGACCUGUGAGGGUUGCUGGAGGUAUCAGAAGUGCGAAUGCUGACAUAAGUAACGAUAAAGCGGGUGAAAAGCCCGCUCGCCGGAAGACCAAGGGUUCCUGUCCAACGUUAAUCGGGGCAGGGUGAGUCGACCCCUAAGGCGAGGCCGAAAGGCGUAGUCGAUGGGAAACAGGUUAAUAUUCCUGUACUUGGUGUUACUGCGAAGGGGGACGGAGAAGGCUAUGUUAGCCGGGCGACGGUUGUCCCGGUUUAAGCAUGUAGGCUGGUUGUCCAGGCAAAUCCGGAUAAUCAAGGCUGAGGUGUGAUGACGAGGCACUACGGUGCUGAAGUAACAAAUGCCCUGCUUCCAGGAAAAGCCUCUAAGCAUCAGGUAACAUCAAAUCGUACCCCAAACCGACACAGGUGGUCAGGUAGAGAAUACCAAGGCGCUUGAGAGAACUCGGGUGAAGGAACUAGGCAAAAUGGUGCCGUAACUUCGGGAGAAGGCACGCUGGUGUGUAGGUGAAGUCCCUGCGGAUGGAGCUGAGACCAGUCGAAGAUACCAGCUGGCUGCAACUGUUUAUUAAAAACACAGCACUGUGCAAACACGAAAGUGGACGUAUACGGUGUGACGCCUGCCCGGUGCCGGAAGGUUAAUUGAUGGGGUUAUCCGUAAGGAGAAGCUCUUGAUCGAAGCCCCGGUAAACGGCGGCCGUAACUAUAACGGUCCUAAGGUAGCGAAAUUCCUUGUCGGGUAAGUUCCGACCUGCACGAAUGGCGUAAUGAUGGCCAGGCUGUCUCCACCCGAGACUCAGUGAAAUUGAACUCGCUGUGAAGAUGCAGUGUACCCGCGGCAAGACGGAAAGACCCCGUGAACCUUUACUAUAGCUUGACACUGAACAUUGAGCCUUGAUGUGUAGGAUAGGUGGGAGGCUUUGAAGCGUGGACGCCAGUCUGCGUGGAGCCAACCUUGAAAUACCACCCUUUAAUGUUUGAUGUUCUAACGUUGGCCCCUGACCGGGGUUGCGGACAGUGUCUGGUGGGUAGUUUGACUGGGGCGGUCUCCUCCCAAAGCGUAACGGAGGAGCACGAAGGUUAGCUAAUCCUGGUCGGACAUCAGGAGGUUAGUGCAAUGGCAUAAGCUAGCUUGACUGCGAGCGUGACGGCGCGAGCAGGUGCGAAAGCAGGUCAUAGUGAUCCGGUGGUUCUGAAUGGAAGGGCCAUCGCUCAACGGAUAAAAGGUACUCCGGGGAUAACAGGCUGAUACCGCCCAAGAGUUCAUAUCGACGGCGGUGUUUGGCACCUCGAUGUCGGCUCAUCACAUCCUGGGGCUGAAGUAGGUCCCAAGGGUAUGGCUGUUCGCCAUUUAAAGUGGUACGCGAGCUGGGUUUAGAACGUCGUGAGACAGUUCGGUCCCUAUCUGCCGUGGGCGCUGGAGAAUUGAGGGGGGCUGCUCCUAGUACGAGAGGACCGGAGUGGACGCAUCACUGGUGUUCGGGUUGUCAUGCCAAUGGCACUGCCCGGUAGCUAAAUGCGGAAGAGAUAAGUGCUGAAAGCAUCUAAGCACGAAACUUGCCCCGAGAUGAGUUCUCCCUGAGACUUUAAGUCUCCUGAAGGAACGUUGAAGACGACGACGUUGAUAGGCCGGGUGUGUAAGCGCAGCGAUGCGUUGAGCUAACCGGUACUAAUGAACCGUGAGGCUUAACCUUACAACGCCGAAG